AGAUAUAAUAAAACGACAGACUUGUUCCUUUACUAUAAAGGUGUAAAAAUAUCAAUAUAUAUUAAAGAAGGACCUCUUCACACGGUAUUGUGCACUCAAAUUUACUUGGAGCACAAAGAAAGGGUCCAUAACUCGAACCAACCCAAAAUAAAGUAAAACAAAAAACAACCACUUAUAUAAUAAAACCAUCAAAGGAAUAAAAGAAAACACUUAACACGACAAACAAGUUGCUAAGAGCUUAGAAGCAGGCAGCGAAGAAAAACAACAAAGUAAAUAAAUAAA